ACCAGCAGACAAAGAAAAGACUUUAGGAUAAAUAGCCUGAGUUUAAACUGUCUUAGGGUCUUUGUUCUGAUCCAGCAAACCAACAGGCCCCUCUGUCCAAGGCGAAGGGGUGAAAGGACAGACACCAACCAGAACCCUUGUGGAGAUUGUGGGGCUGAUCUCUGGUAAGCUUAUUAAGGUGAGAGGACAAAACAGGAGCAAACAGAGUGGGGGAGAAAAUCCAGUGGAAAAAAUGCAGCAAAAAAUUGAAGUCAGAGCAAAAGAGAAAGCUACCUCCUGAGAGUCUCUGGAAAAAGUACCGAUAAAGAUCCCCAGUCCAGCACAGAGUGACUGAGCCGGUUCUUCCUUCUUCUGACCUCCAGCACAGACUGACUGAGCUGGUACGUGCUACCUUUGCCAGAAAGUUGUGGACCCAGUGAUGAAAGAUGUGGAGGGAAUGCCAACAGGACCAAACUAGGACAGCUGAAUAGACAAGAAGUUGAAAAAUAAUUCACUGACAUCAUGUAGGGCCAAAUCCAUACCUUGUGCAUCACCACUGACUUCAGUGGAAUUAGCAUCUGGAUGAAUUGUCCAGAGGAUCAACUUUUCCAAACACGACCUGAGAGUCUCACACAAGAUGCACAUUUGUAUAUGCAGCUGCAUCAGGGAUGAGUAUUGCAUGCAGUCAUUCACAGUAGCCAUGCAAGUGGGAGAAACAUGUUCAGCCAUGCCUGAAAAUCUGGUCCACUGUCUCCUUUAUGGAGAAAGGAGGCUACAUUUUCACCAGUGUUCAUUUUCCAGAAUGGGGGCUACCUAAGGAUAGGAUGGAAUCCCUUGUUCAGCCCUGUUAAGUAAGUCAAGGAGAGUCUCUUGAAUAAGCCCAGAAUGAAUUUCACCCUUCAACUCAUAAUGAAGAACCGUAUUGUUAUGUUAUAGUAGCAUCCUUGAUCAAGAUCAAGGCCCUGUGGUGCUGGCCACUGUAUAGACACACAUACAGUUCCUAUCUCAGGGAGCUUAUGUUUUAUGAAUUAGUAGUAAUGUAUACGGGGAGGCAAUGUAGCUUAGUGGAUAGAAAACUAGACUGGGUUUUAGGAGACGUGGAUCCUAGUCCCAGCUUUGCUGCUUGGUGAU